CACGUCAAGCUUCCAAGAAAAGCCCUAUACCCGUUAAGGCAUCAUGGCCUGUACCCGAAACCGACACAGGUGGGGUGGUAGAGAAUACCGAGGGGCGCGAGGUAACUCUCUCUAAGGAACUCGGCAAAAUGGCCCCGUAACUUCGGGAGAAGGGGUGCCAGCGAGAGCUGGUCGCAGUGAAGAGGCCCAGGCGACUGUUUACCAAAAACACAGGUCUCCGCUAAGUCGCAAGACGAUGUAUGGGGGCUGACGCCUGCCCAGUGCCGGAAGGUUAAGGAAGCUGGUUAGCGCAAGCGAAGCUGGCGACUGAAGCCCCGGUGAACGGCGGCCGUAACUAUAACGGUCCUAAGGUAGCGAAAUUCCUUGUCGGGUAAGUUCCGACCCGCACGAAAGGCGUAACGAUCUGGGCGCUGUCUCGGAGAGAGGCUCGGCGAAAUAGAAUUGUCUGUGAAGAUGCGGACUACGUGCACCCGGACAGAAAGACCCUAUGAAGCUUUACUGUAGCUUGGUAUUGUGCACGGGCUCGGAAUGCGCAGGAUAGGUGGGAGGCUUGGAUCCAUUGCUUGCGGGUGAUGGUGAGCCACUGGUGAGAUACCACUCUUUUCGAGCUUAAGUUCUAACCCUUACCCGUUAUCCGGGGAGGGGACAGUAUCAGGUGGGCAGUUUGACUGGGGCGGUCGCCUCCUAAAAGGUAACGGAGGCGCGCAAAGGUUCCCUCAGGCUGGUUGGAAAUCAGCCGACGAGUGCAAAGGCAGAAGGGAGCUUGACUGUGAGACCUACAAGUCGAACAGGGACGAAAGUCGGCCUUAGUGAUCCGACGGUUCUGCGUGGAAGGGCCGUCGCUCAACGGAUAAAAGUUACUCUAAGGAUAACAGGCUGAUCUCCCCCAAGAGUUCACAUCGACGGGGAGGUUGGCACCUCGAUGUCGGCUCAUCGCAACCUGGGGCUGAAGUCGGUCCCAAGGGUUGGGCUGUUCGCCCAUUAAAGCGGUACGCGAGCUGGGUUCAGAACGUCGUGAGACAGUUCGGUCCAUAUCCGGUGCACGCGCAGGAAUAUUGAGAGGAUUUCUCCCUAGUACGAGAGGACCGGGAGGAACGCACCUCUGGUGUGCCAGUUAUCGUGCCAACGGUAAACGCUGGGUAGCCAUGUGCGGAGAGGAUAACCGCUGAAAGCAUCUAAGUGGGAAGCCCACCUCAAGAUGAGUAUUCCCAUGGCAUAAGCCAGUAAGGUCACGGGAAGAUUACCCGUUGAUAGGCUCUACGUGGAAGCGCAGUAAUGUGUGAAGCGGAGGGGUACUAAUAGACCGAGGGCUUGACC
rnacentral:rRNA from 1 species